UUAAGGGCGCACGGUGGAUGCCUUGGCACUAGAAGCCGAUGAAGGACGUUACUAACGACGAUAUGCUUUGGGGAGCUGUAAGUAAGCUUUGAUCCAGAGAUUUCCGAAUGGGGAAACCCAGCAUGAGUUAUGUCAUGUUAUCGAUAUGUGAAUACAUAGCAUAUCAGAAGGCACACCCGGAGAACUGAAACAUCUUAGUACCCGGAGGAAGAGAAAGAAAAUUCGAUUCCCUUAGUAGCGGCGAGCGAAACGGGAAGAGCCCAAACCAACAAGCUUGCUUGUUGGGGUUGUAGGACACUCUAUACGGAGUUACAAAGGACGACAUUAGACGAAUCAUCUGGAAAGAUGAAUCAAAGAAGGUAAUAAUCCUGUAGUCGAAAAUGUUGUCUCUCUUGAGUGGAUCCUGAGUACGACGGAGCACGUGAAAUUCCGUCGGAAUCUGGGAGGACCAUCUCCUAAGGCUAAAUACUCUCUAGUGACCGAUAGUGAACCAGUACCGUGAGGGAAAGGUGAAAAGCACCCCGGAAGGAGAGUGAAAUAGAACCUGAAACCGUGUGCUUACAAGUAGUCAGAGCCCGUUAAUGGGUGAUGGCGUGCCUUUUGUAGAAUGAACCGGCGAGUUACGAUUUGAUGCAAGGUUAAGCAGUAAAUGUGGAGCCGUAGCGAAAGCGAGUCUGAAUAGGGCGUUUAGUAUUUGGUCGUAGACCCGAAACCAGGUGAUCUACCCUUGGUCAGGUUGAAGUUCAGGUAACACUGAAUGGAGGACCGAACCGACUUACGUUGAAAAGUGAGCGGAUGAACUGAGGGUAGCGGAGAAAUUCCAAUCGAACCUGGAGAUAGCUGGUUCUCUCCGAAAUAGCUUUAGGGCUAGCCUCAAGUGAUGAUUAUUGGAGGUAGAGCACUGUUUGGACGAGGGGCCCCUCUCGGGUUACCGAAUUCAGACAAACUCCGAAUGCCAAUUAAUUUAACUUGGGAGUCAGAACAUGGGUGAUAAGGUCCGUGUUCGAAAGGGAAACAGCCCAGACCACCAGCUAAGGUCCCAAAAUAUAUGUUAAGUGGAAAAGGAUGUGGCGUUGCCCAGACAACUAGGAUGUUGGCUUAGAAGCAGCCAUCAUUUAAAGAGUGCGUAAUAGCUCACUAGUCGAGUGACACUGCGCCGAAAAUGUACCGGGGCUAAACAUAUUACCGAAGCUGUGGAUUGUCCUUUGGACAAUGGUAGGAGAGCGUUCUAAGGGCGUUGAAGCAUGAUCGUAAGGACAUGUGGAGCGCUUAGAAGUGAGAAUGCCGGUGUGAGUAGCGAAAGACGGGUGAGAAUCCCGUCCACCGAUUGACUAAGGUUUCCAGAGGAAGGCUCGUCCGCUCUGGGUUAGUCGGGUCCUAAGCUGAGGCCGACAGGCGUAGGCGAUGGAUAACAGGUUGAUAUUCCUGUACCACCUAUAAUCGUUUUAAUCGAUGGGGGGACGCAGUAGGAUAGGCGAAGCGUGCGAUUGGAUUGCACGUCUAAGCAGUAAGGCUGAGUAUUAGGCAAAUCCGGUACUCGUUAAGGCUGAGCUGUGAUGGGGAGAAGACAUUGAGUCUUCGAGUCGUUGAUUUCACACUGCCGAGAAAAGCCUCUAGAUAGAAAAUAGGUGCCCGUACCGCAAACCGACACAGGUAGUCAAGAUGAGAAUUCUAAGGUGAGCGAGCGAACUCUCGUUAAGGAACUCGGCAAAAUGACCCCGUAACUUCGGGAGAAGGGGUGCUCUUUAGGGUUAACGCCCAGAAGAGCCGCAGUGAAUAGGCCCAAGCGACUGUUUAUCAAAAACACAGGUCUCUGCUAAACCGUAAGGUGAUGUAUAGGGGCUGACGCCUGCCCGGUGCUGGAAGGUUAAGAGGAGUGGUUAGCUUCUGCGAAGCUACGAAUCGAAGCCCCAGUAAACGGCGGCCGUAACUAUAACGGUCCUAAGGUAGCGAAAUUCCUUGUCGGGUAAGUUCCGACCCGCACGAAAGGCGUAACGAUUUGGGCACUGUCUCAACGAGAGACUCGGUGAAAUCAUAGUACCUGUGAAGAUGCAGGUUACCCGCGACAGGACGGAAAGACCCCGUGGAGCUUUACUGUAGCCUGAUAUUGAAAUUCGGCACAGCUUGUACAGGAUAGGUAGGAGCCUUUGAAACGUGAGCGCUAGCUUACGUGGAGGCGCUGGUGGGAUACUACCCUAGCUGUGUUGGCUUUCUAACCCGCACCACUUAUCGUGGUGGGAGACAGUGUCAGGCGGGCAGUUUGACUGGGGCGGUCGCCUCCUAAAAGGUAACGGAGGCGCUCAAAGGUUCCCUCAGAAUGGUUGGAAAUCAUUCAUAGAGUGUAAAGGCAUAAGGGAGCUUGACUGCGAGACCUACAAGUCGAGCAGGGUCGAAAGACGGACUUAGUGAUCCGGUGGUUCCGCAUGGAAGGGCCAUCGCUCAACGGAUAAAAGCUACCCCGGGGAUAACAGGCUUAUCUCCCCCAAGAGUUCACAUCGACGGGGAGGUUUGGCACCUCGAUGUCGGCUCAUCGCAUCCUGGGGCUGUAGUCGGUCCCAAGGGUUGGGCUGUUCGCCCAUUAAAGCGGUACGCGAGCUGGGUUCAGAACGUCGUGAGACAGUUCGGUCCCUAUCCGUCGUGGGCGUAGGAAAUUUGAGAGGAGCUGUCCUUAGUACGAGAGGACCGGGAUGGACAUACCUCUGGUGUACCAGUUGUCGUGCCAACGGCAUAGCUGGGUAGCUAUGUGUGGACGGGAUAAGUGCUGAAAGCAUCUAAGCAUGAAGCCCCCCUCAAGAUGAGAUUUCCCAACUUCGGUUAUAAGAUCCCUCAAAGAUGAUGAGGUUAAUAGGUUCGAGGUGGAAGCAUGGUGACAUGUGGAGCUGACGAAUACUAAUCGAUCGAAGACUUAAUC
rnacentral:rRNA from 1 species